GACCCUGAAAGGUAACCACGACACAUUGCAGUCAGCAUGACGAAAAUUUCGAAAAAAAAGGCCAAAAAAAACGUUAGGGCGUUAUAGGGUGCCAAAGAUAUUAAGAAAACUACAAAUCUUCCUUGAAUUGCAAGCUAAGCUAAGCCUGCUUGCUCGCAAACGCUUUUUCAGCUUGGUUAGCAUAUUGGUGGUAAGGCUUAACUUCGUGUAAACAAGCUGCAGAUUUAAAGGAGCAAAAUUAUAUAAGCAUGAAGCGCGCAAGCUCCCUGUCCGCGCUCAGUAACUCCAGCCCUGCGAGUCCCCAGCACUCUCAACAGCGGUAGCUGACCGCAGUCAGCAGGACUCAGACGAUCAUUAGAUACACAACCAUCACCUUCAUCAGGCUGCUGGCAUUACAGACGUGACCCAAGCCUUGUUGAACAAAUGACUUAAAAAUAAACGGUGCGAGUUCCAUGCUCUAUGGUUUUUGGAACAAACAAAGGAUGUAGAAGAUAUUACAUUAGUAUAUCUUAACGUUAUGGUAUUAUUGCAUACAAUGAGCAGGAAUGAGGAAUGUAUUAACAGAAUUUGAUUAAGAGGAAUUUUAAAGUUAGGAAAUAAUAAAAGUAUAACUUCAUCACGCUUUUACUUUUACAUCACAACUCACGUUUUAAAAUUCUUCCACAAAAUAUUUUUUAUGAAGACAUAUCCUCAUCGUUAUUAUUUAUUAGAAAUCCUUCUCUUUGAUAAGAUAAUAGAUCCCUAAGUCCAUACCAUUCAAAAUAAUAGUAUAGAAUACGUGUUGUGUCUAAAAUUGUUGUUACUGCUGAUGUCAUAAAAGUAAUAGAUAAUAACCUAAUUGUGAACAUAUUAAAUGUAAUCGUGAUAAUUCAUUAUAUGUGAGUAGGUAAUUAUAAUGACAACGACCAUGUUAAUAUCUUACGAAAAAACAAAAAAAUAUAAUACGUAUAUUUGCGAUAUUAAAAUCAACUCCCCAAAACUUUUUAUGACCACAGUGUUAUAUUUUGAAUUAUGAAAAAAAAAAUGGCGGUAGAUUUAACAGGUUCUUCAAUUAAUUUAAAAUUCGAACAUUUACCAGACAUGUUAAUUAUAUUGCAACAAACACUAGUGGCUUUCGUAGAGAUUACCUAAUAAGUAAAAACUUUUUCUAAAAAGCAAAAAAUGGUGAGAUACUUGCACCCGUACGAGGAAUACGUGAGAAAAAAAAAUAAUCACAAGAGUGUAUGGGUAUUAUUUAAUUUAAUAAUAUUGAUAAGAUGUCUGAAUAAGCUAUACUGUGCUAGCUUUAAUUGUCUAUGCAUUUCUAUUAAAAUAAGCUUAAUUUUUUUAAGUC